rnacentral:lncRNA from 1 species
AGCUGGAGGAAGGGAGGUGCAGCUUUGGCUCAGCUCUUAACAGUGCAACAUCUAGUGCCUCUAUAGUUCUCUUGGACACAGAUGGCUGCUUUCGAAGAAGAAAGAAGUGGAAAGUGAUGGAGUUUCUAUGCUCCAGCUCUCUUUGCCUGCUGCCAUCCACGUAAGAUGUGACUUGCUCCUCUUUGCCUUCUGCCAUAAUUGUGAGCCCCCCUCAGCCAUGUGGAAUGAUGGAAAACAGAACAAGCCAUGGAGGCCCCAGGGAUCAGGCAGGGCCAAGAGGAUCUGAUGGCGGAAGGGGGAGCACAUCAACAAGACCUUACAAGGCAACUUGCAUGGAUGCUCUGAAGCAACUUUGAGGUCUCCUUGAUGAGGAAAGUUGGCUCAACCUGCUGUAGAGUAGGCCCACAGCCAAGCCAUUGAGAGACAAGUCCAUGGGAGACAAA